rnacentral:sRNA from 1 species
UGGAACCUGCCUACCACUGCCCCAAGUCAUGAUUGAAGCCCAGCCACCCAAAGUGUCUGAGGGAAGGAUGUUCUUCUACUUGUCCACAAUUUGCCCCAGAAUCUUACUGGCUACAUCUGGUACAAAGGGCAAAUCAGGGACCUCUACCAUUACAUUACAUCAUAUGUAGUAGACGGUCAAAUAAUUAUAUAUGGACCGGCAUACAGUGGACGAGAAACAGUAUAUUCCAAUGCAUCCCUGCGGAUCCAGAAUGUCACCCGGGAGGACGCAGGAUCCUACACCUUACACAUCAUAAAGCGAGGUGAUGGGACUAGAGGAAUAACUGGAAAUUUCACCUUCACCUUAUACCGUAAGUGAUUCCACGUGAUCCCUGGGUGUUGGGGGACAGGGGUCACUUCUACUUCACACACACAGGAUUGUCAGGCCUGGACAUUGCCUGUGUCCCUCUCUGCAUUAUGUCCCAUGCUGGGGUUUGGGCAUUUAGUGCAGGACUCACACAGAGGAGACAAAUUUCAACAGAUCAGAAUUCCUUUCCCACAUCCAGACCCUGCAGACACUUGCUGCAGAGGAAGG